AGUAUUCUAAGUCCAAAAUUUAUUCUAAGUCCAAAAAUUCAUUGUUUAAAAAUAUUCUAAGUCCAAAAAUGGCCAAAAUUAUUCCUGGGCAUAUUUUGAGUAAUAAAUUUUUGUGUGGUUUUAGAGUAACUCACUGGGCCCCUACUGAGUUACUCUUCCCACGGCCAGGUAAUCCAUUAUGCUUGUAUUUUUUUAUAUUAUUGGUGAAUGAUAAUUUGAAGGCCUUCCUCCGGAGACGCUUCCGAUUAUCUUUUACCAAAUUUUUUCAACGUUAGUCCUGGCAAUGGCAAACU